UCUGAUUGCUAAAGGUAACAAGUUUUUCCCUUCUUUUUUUAUCACUUAUUUUCAGAUUUUCUUUGAUACUGUUUCUUUCAGAUUGGUUUUUAUUUAUUUAGGCUCGAAUCAAUCAUCAAUAGAGAGUAUCAAGGAUAAUAAUCAACGGGCAACUUCCUUCAUUUUUCUAGAAAGUGGGCUCUAUACAAAUAUUGGGCAGAUAGCCGGUUGUGAUUCUGAAGGUAUAUCAUCGUCUUUGAUAAUGUCAACUACUUUGAAAGAAAUCUCAAAUGCAUACUCGAUUCUAGAGCUGAGAAUCACUUGAAAUAUUUUCUUUGUGUAUAUAUUCUCGUCAAGAUUGUUGGAACCCAA